GUAACGGGGGUAGGAGGGAGGGCAGGGAGCCAGAGAGAAGGAGAAUGGCCCUGAAUUCAAAUCCAGCCCCAUCUGGGACCACGGCCUCCUUGGACUUCCCAGGGGACGAGAAUCCAUACACCAAAAUAAAUAAAACAUUAAAAAAAAAUGGGGCAUCAAAGUAGCAACCACAUGAAGGCGGUCUCUACCAAGAUUCAAUGAUUUGGGGAUCCAGAGUGCUUGGAAAUGAACAAGCAAUUAACUGGUGACUAAUCACGUGAAGCUUCCCCACCAAGGAAAUGCAGACUAAUGAGUUACACUUCAUGUUUUCAAACUUUCAGCUCUUUAAAGCCGACAAUAUCUAUACUAAAUAAUGAUGUCAAAUGCUGCCUGUUGGAGUAUAAACUGGUGCAGGCAUUUCGGAAGGUCAUUUGGCCAGAUCUAUGAAAACUUAAAAAUGUGUGUGCCCUGUCACCCAGAACUUCCGCUUCUCUGGCCUGGAUGUAUACGGAGGUCUCCUGGGGUAUGGUUAUAAUAGUGAAAACCUGCAAACAACUCAUAGGCUCGUCAAUCAGAGAAGGGUAGAUAUCUGCUCUGAAAUACUACACUGUGGUUACACAGAAUAAGGCAGGCCUAUGCUUCCAAUAUGGGAGAGUCCCGACACAUGCCGUUAACUGUCAAAAUCAAGUUCCAGGAACGCACACACAGUAUGAUACCACUCAUUAAAAAAAAAAAAA